CAUCAGUGACCAGCAGUGAGGUUGGGAGGUCACCCCAGGCAUGCCAGGGCCUCUGCUCAGGCUUCAUCUACACGAGUUGAGAUAAGCAGUCCCCCACCCCUAGGAGGUGCUCUUAUGGAGGCCCCUCAGCUUCUUCCCCUUGACCUCUUGCUCGUCCUUUCCUCGAUGGGAGAAAGUAGGGGCCUCUUGGCCCUCGCCUCUUCUUCUAGGCUGCUUUAUGUCCCAGCUAGAAUGCCCUUUCGCGGCUUCUCAGCCGUUCCAGAUUCCACUCUGUAUUUCAGGCUCACUCCCUCCACGGUAAGUGUGACCCUCCCCACUUCCUCUGAGCUCUUCCUAGUCUGUCUGUGCUGUACUAGGUCGCUCCAGUUGUGUCGAUUCUUUGGACUCUAUGGGCCAUAGCCCACCAGGCUCCUCUGUCCAUGGGAUUCUCCAGGCAAGAAUACUGGAGUGGGUUGCCAUGCCCUCCUCCAGGGGAUCUUCCCGACCCAGGGAUCAAACCAGCAUCUCUUACAUCUCCUGCAUUGGCAGGCGAAUUCUUUACCACUAUGCCACCUGGAAAGCCCCUAGUCAUAUCACCUGGAAUUUAUUCAUGGUCUUAAUAUGUUCAGUCUUGUUCUCCUAUCGUUUAAAAAUUAUUUUAAUUUUUUAAAAUUUAUUUAUUUGACAGAGUGGCAUGUGGGAUCUUAGUUCCUCAACCAGGGAUCGAACCUGUGCCCCCUGCAGUGGGAGCUCGCGCCUUAACCACUGGAUUGCCAGGGAAGUCCUGUUCACUUAUCCUUUUAUGUGCACAAGUCUUGUCUCCCCAACAAGAGUUUAAGCUUAUUAAGGGAAGGAACUAUAUUUCUAUUUCUCUUCCAUUUCCCAUAGUGUCUAUAUAUUCACUUAAUAUACAUUUAUUGAGUUACCAUGUGCCUAAACUGGGGUUCAGGUGCUGGGGAUACAAAAAUGAAAUAUAUAUAUUUCCUCUUCACUAGUGAAGCUAGUAAUGGACUCAUGGUUUAAUAACUGCCUAUAAAAGUGUUGAACACAUAAUGGUUCCUCAAUAGAGGUUUGAUGGAUUGAUGAACCAUGCUGCUUUUUGACUAGGCAUUCAAUGAAUGAAUGAAUGAAUGAAAUUACUGGAUAGCAACCCUGCAAGCUGUUCCAGGUGUAUCCCUCUUAUAUGAAACAAGUUCUCACAGACUUAAAGGUGUGAGACUGGUUUGAGGGGAGAAGUGCUCUCUAGAGGCAUCAAAACAGAGAGCCUACUGUCUUUUCAAGGCAGUGUUCACUCCUUUCCUUAAGGCCUAGUGAUUAAAACACAAAGCAUUUUACAGGCAUUGGUGAAUGCCUUUUGCCAAUUUGGGUCAUUCAGGUUGUAAAUUAUGAGAACUGUGUGCAUUUUUCAUAAUAAAAAACAGCUAUUAUUGAAUAUUGAUUAUGUGCCAGAUAUUUUGCUGAUUUCUUUACAUGAAUUAUUUAAAUCCUAACAACAACCCUAUGAAGUAAAUAUGAUUAUUAUCCCACUUUACAGAAGAGGAAACUCAGGUACAGGUAGGAAGCAAGAAAAGACAGAACUUGAAUCCAGGAAGUCUGUGCUGUCCAGGCGAUGAUUGGGAGAGUGGAGAGCUGAGUUCUUCAGCCCGCCCUGCUGUGUGCUUGCUGUGUGACCUGCAAAAAUCAUCUCAGGUCUCUGGUCUUCGGCCCCUUCUGAUCACCAAUCUUAAAGCCUACUCUUUUGAAUUCAAGUCCUCUGCUUCUCCACCAAUAUUAAUUGCCUAAAUCUGGUUGUGAUCCCCUAAAUCUCAUCUUUCAUCUCCUUGUAGUGUAAAAUGCAGCUUAUGAUAUUGUGUUAUUCAUAACUGGAGCAUCCUUUUGAGACAUUAUAUAUGAAGACCUUGAUGACUUCUUGAAUGUCUUGGUUCAUGGCUGCAGCUGAUAGAGCUGCAGAAGGACCCCUGAACCCAAUUUCUUCCUGUGACUCCAUCCCUCAACUCCUAGUUAAGUAAAAAUAUUUCCCAGUAUUAGGAUGCUUGUUAUCAUGAAUCCAUUCAGAGGACACAGCCAAAAUCAAGCACUAAUCAAAAGGAAGGUGGUGGGUCUGAUUCAUUUCUGUGUGUGGAGAUUGAUCAACACAGGCAAGAGAUUGAGACCAAGUAACAUGAAAGAGUAGGCAAGAGUGGAUUUGAAAGGUCGAUUUCUCUGAGGAGCCUCCACAUAGAAACUGAAGCUGCUCAAAUCCUCCAUUUUGUCCCUUCAUAGCUGGAAUUUUUACUUCCUUGUAUGCAGACAAAGGAUAAUAAUUAUCUGAACAAGUGUGCUUGUUUAGCUGGCAUCAGUGUUUUAAAUUGGUAUGCUUAAAUACCAAUGGCUUGCUGUACCCCUCAUGUUGCUAUUUGACUCAGCUCUCUCUGCUUAGUCUAUUUUGUCUGUGCAUCAAGAGUAGCUGUGUGUUUUGUUCUCACCAGGGUAGCCUCUGGCUGGGGUGCCUACUAGUGUCCUUUCCUAGAGCUUCUUUA
rnacentral:lncRNA from 1 species